rnacentral:rRNA from 2 species
UAUUAGAGGCAUUGCCUGCCCAGUGACUAAAGUUAAACGGCCGCGGUAUCCUGACCGUGCAAAGGUAGCAUAAUCACUUGUUCCUUAAUUAGGGACUAGAAUGAAUGGCUAAACGAGGGUUCAACUGUCUCUUACUUUCAAUCAGUGAAAUUGACCUUCCAGUGAAGAGGCUGGAAUACUACAAUAAGACGAGAAGACCCUAUGGAGCUUUAAUUUACUAGUUUAAUUUAUAUAAUAACAACCUAAUGGACCAAAACAAAAUAAAUAUAAACUAAAAAUUUCGGUUGGGGUGACCUCGGAGAAUAGAAAAUCCUCCGAAUGAUUUUAACCUAGACCCACAAGUCAAAGUAAUAUUAAUAUCUUAUUGACCCAAUUAUUGAUCAACGGACCAAGUUACCCUAGGGAUAACAGCGCAAUCCUAUUUAAGAGUUCAUAUCGACAAUUAGGGUUUACGACCUCGAUGUUGGAUCAGGACAUCCCAAUGGUGCAGAAGCUAUUAAUGGUUCGUUUGUUCAACGAUUAAAGUCCUACGUGAUCUGAGU